AAUCAACGCUGGCGGCGUGCCUCAGACAUGCAAGUCGAACGAUUAAAGCUCUCUUCGGAGAGUGUAUAGAGUGGCGCACGGGUGAGUAACACGUAAGUAAUCUACCCUCGAGUGGGGAAUAACAACCGGAAACGGUUGCUAAUACCGCAUAAUGCAGCGGCACCGCAAGGUGACAGUUGUUAAAGAUUUAUCGCUUGAGGAGGAGCUUGCGGCAGAUUAGCUAGUUGGUAGGGUAACGGGCUUACCAAGGCUACGAUCUGUAACCGGUCUAAGAGGACGGUCGGUCACACUGACACUGAAUAACGGGUCAGACUCCUACGGGAGGCAGCAGUCGGGAAUUUGGGCAAUGGGCGAAAGCCUGACCCAGCAACGCCGCGUGAAGGAUGAAGUAUUUCGGUAUGUAAAUUUCGAAAGAAUAGGAAGAAUUAAUGACGGUACUAUUAUAAGGUACCGGCUAACUACGUAGCCAGCAGCCGCGGUAAU
rnacentral:rRNA from 1 species